UUUGAGGUGAUGAUCCUUUCCCCAACUUAUCGACUAUGAUUAUACUGUGCGAUUUUCGAGUCCUCUUCGGAGACUCUAAGCCAGAUGUUCUGAUCAAA
rnacentral:snoRNA from 1 species